rnacentral:rRNA from 1 species
UGGGGAAUAUUGCGCAAUGGUCGAAAGCCUGACGCAGCGACGCCGCGUGAGGGAUGAAGGUUUUCGGAUCGUAAACCUCUGUCAGAAGGGAAGAAACCGCACUGUGCUAAUCAGCAGUGCCUUGACGGUACCUUCAAAGGAAGCACCGGCUAACUCCGUGCCAGCAGCCGCGGUAAUACGGAGGGUGCAAGCGUUAAUCGGAAUUACUGGGCGUAAAGCGCACGUAGGCUGCUUUGUAAGUCAGGGGUGAAAUCCCACGGCUCAACCGUGGAACUGCCUUUGAUACUGCUUAGCUUGAAUCCGGGAGAGGGUGGCGGAAUUCCAGGUGUAGAAGUGAAAUCCGUAGAUAUCUGGAGGAACAUCAGUGGCGAAGGCGGCCACCUGGACCGGUAUUGACGCUGAGGUGCGAAAGCGUGGGGAGCAAACAGG